UACGUAGGGACCAAGCGUUGUUCGGAUUUACUGGGCGUAAAGGGCGCGUAGGCGGCGUGACAAGUCACUUGUGAAAUCUCCGGGCUUAACUCGGAACGGCCAAGUGAUACUGUCGUGCUAGAGUGCAGAAGGGGCAAUCGGAAUUCUUGGUGUAGCGGUGAAAUGCGUAGAUAUCAAGAGGAACACCUGAGGUGAAGACGGGGUUGCUGGGCUGACACUGACGCUGACAGCGCGAAAGCUAGGGGUAGCAAACGGG
rnacentral:rRNA from 1 species